AUGGCCGGAUCUCAUGACGACAUCAACAUGCUUCAGCGUUAUCCGGUGUUUGCAAGGCUUGCAACAGGCAACUGCCUGAAGGUCAAUGUUGAUAUCAAUGGUCACCACUACAAUAAAGGGUACUAUCUAGACGACAGUAUCUAUCCUAAGUGGACUACUCUUGUAAAGACAAUCUCCAACCUUGUAGGAGAGAAGAGGAAGAGAUUUUUCCAAACACAAGAGAGUGCUACGAAGGAUGUGGAGUGUGCCUUUGGUGUUCUUCAAUCUCGGUGGGGCAUCGUUUGGUAUCCAGCUAGAAUGUGGAGCACCAAAAAGUUGUGA
rnacentral:rRNA from 1 species